UCAAAUAUACACGAUGGAGGGGAAAAAAAGGUCUCCAGCGGAACGUGUAUAGGGGCGUGCAAAUUAUCCACGUCCAUCCACGAGGCUACGCGUCGUGGGAAUAAACACGACCGAGCCACGCUCGUGGAGACGAAGAAACAGAGGCUGCUCUCUCCCGCCCUCGUCCGGAGCCGAGCGGAAGAAGGCGCCCCAAGCUCGCCGGCGGCGAAUCCCCUCCGAUGGAUGGUGACCAAAGUUUCUUGGACACAAUUGGUUUUGGUUACUCACAAACACAACCUGAAAGUCCAAUUGGAGAGCAAGCAACCCCAUCAACUCAGCAUGAAGCAAGACCAUCAACUCAGCAUCAAGCAAGACCAAGCUAAGCAGAAUGAGAUCCUUGCUCGCCGCCUAGAGUAGUGAGCUAGUUAUUGUAUGAACUAUUUGAUGAUUACUUCUACUUGUUGUAAGAACUAUUUGAUGUUGUCUGCUAGUUGUUGUAAGAACUAUUUGAUGUUGUCUGCUAGUUGUAAGAACUAUUUGAAGUAAAAAUA